UACGUAGGGGGCGAGCGUUGUCCGGAUUUAUUGGGCGUAAAGAGCUCGUAGGCGGUUUGGUAAGUCGGGUGUGAAAUCUCCACGCUCAACGUGGAGGGGCCACUCGAUACUGCCAUGACUCGAGUCCGGUAGAGGAGUGUGGAAUUCCCGGUGUAGCGGUGAAAUGCGCAGAUAUCAGGAAGAACACCCGUGGCGAAGGCGGCUCUCUGGGACGGUACUGACGCUGAGACGCGAAAGCGUGGGGAGCGAACAGG
rnacentral:rRNA from 1 species